UUUUUUUUUUUUUGUAUUGUGCAACCAUUAAGAUAUAUUUGUGGUGUUAAAAUAUAUUUUGAAAAUGUAAAAUUAAUUAAGGAAAGUAUGUAAAUAUGAGGGAGUAUAUUUUGGAGAUGUAUGAUUAAUUAGGAAGAGUAAAUAAAUACAAGAAAUGAUUGGUAAGAUUAGAUGGGAAAAGUAUUAAAUGCAAGGGAAAGUAAUAACUAUUAGUAUGUGUAUGUAUGAUAGGUUAGGUGAAUUUUAAAUGUCUUAAUAAAAUAAAAGUACCUAAUGGAUAUGGGUACCCAUUAAAAAAAACGCUUUCUUAAAUAUUUUUUCUUGCGAAGUCAACAAGUAUAAUAUCGCACGGUUUUGAUUGCUUAGGAUUCGUUUGGUUCACGGACCAUAUAAGAUAUGAUGACUCAUGCUCGAAUUAUUAAUCCUAAAUUGAGUCAUUUUCAGAUAAAUAAUAUAAGUUAUCUAGUUUUGAUUGGUUAUAAAUUGGAUAGGAUAUGUUGGGAAAUAAUCUUAUCCAAUGUUUGGUUGGAAACUGGAUGAGAAAAGAUUACCAUUUUAAUGACCAAAGUACCCCUUAAUUUGUAGAAUUCUUUUUAAUAAAAUAAAUUAAUAUUUUAAAAAUAUUAAUAAUUUAAUAUUAAAAAAUAAUUUAAUAAAAAUUUUCAUAUUUAUAACUUUUAUUAAAAUAGAGUAGUUUGAAACUUUAGAAUUAUAAAGUAAAUCAUGUGUUUUAAUAUAUAAAAAUUUGCAUUCACUCAAACUCAACCCAUUCGAGUUCUUAAAAAUACAUUUUUGACCAAGUUUUUGAACCUAAAUUUGAAAUUCAAUUAAAUAAUGGGUUGAGCUUUGCUAAGUUAGGGUUAAAUCGAUUAAAACCUAACCCAUUUAAGAGUUUUAAAUGAGCUGAACUCAAUCUAAUAUAGAAGAUUUUUCUUUGGACCGAGUUUGAGUUUAUUGAAAUCCUCAUUCGCAAAGGCCAAUUGAUAAGGUUAUAUAUUUAUAUAGAAUUUGGUUUAGAAAAUAAGCUUAGUAAGAAUAAUUUAGUCCAAGGGCAAUAUAGUCCUUCUAUUAUGAUGUUAGUAUGGCAAAUUAGUCAAAAAAUUUAAAUUAAUUAAUAGGGGUAAAUUAAUCAAAAUUUUUAAAAUAAUAAAUAGGAGCAAAUUAGUAAAAAAAUUUCAAUAUAAUUGGAAGGGGUUAAUUAGUCCAUUUAUUAUCAUAUUAUUAUGUGAGACUAUGGUUAUAUAAUAGUUAGUAUGAAUUUGUAUCACUCAUAAGGGCAAAUUAAUCUAAAUAUGUUAUAUUGGUAGUAGGAGUAAAUUGGUCAAAAACUUUAAAAUUAAUUAGUUGGGGCAAAUUAGUCCAUUCAUUUUAUAUUAUCAUGUGGGAGUAGGGUUAUAUAAUUAUAAGAGUAUAAAUUUAUAUUUUUUGUAAGAGUUAAUUAGUCUAAAAUUUGAUCGUCCUAUUUGUUAGUUAUCCUAGGAUAACUAAUAUCACCUCCCCCAUUUGAUUAUUUUAUCCCAUAAAUAGGGGAUUAAUUCAGUUAAGUAAGAUGUGUCAUCCUAUAUAUAAAAUGUAAUCAAACAUGAGAUAACACGGGAUAAUUAAUCUAAUCCUGUAUCAUCCUAUGAACCAAACAAGUCCUUAGUACUUUGAUAACUUCAAGGACUCUGGUCGAAUUUUAUAUUUGGACACAAUUGACCCCAUAAAAAUAAAAUCUAUACUCGAUGCAAAUGUGCCCUUAGAAUUUGUAAAAUUGUGUGACUUUGCCAUCAUAGGAAAAUAUUGAUAAGAUGGGCAACAUUGGAACAAUUUUUGAGUUCUCAAGGGAAAAAAAUAACACUUGAGGUUAUUAAUGGACAUGAAAUGAUAAUCUGGAUUGCAUUUUUCUGAAUUUUUUGUAGAAAAAUUACUAUAACGAUUUGAUAAAUGUGAAGUAAAAAGAUGAUUGAAAAAUGUGUUCAGAAAAACAUAACAAAUUUUCUUUCCAAAAAUUGCUUUCCAAACAAGACUUAAAGGCAUUUAUUGAAGGAAAAAUUUCACCAACGAUUUUGUGUAGCGAUUGGAUAAUUGACAUAUUUAGAAGAAGCAAUCCUACAAAUACGCAAACAAUUAUCCAUACAUACAAUAUAUAUAUAAGGAGAGAACAGGGUUGGUGUAAAUUUUUUCUGUUACUUUUUGUAAAUCCUAUUAAUAAAGGACAAAAUGGUAUUACCAUUUCCCAAAAAUAAACACACACACACACACACACACACACAUAUAUAUAUAUAUAUAUAUAUCUCCCAUUUUUUAAGUCUAAAAAAACUUCUAAUUUUGUAAUAAUGGCCAAUAACAUUUUAUCAAAAAAAGAAAUAAAAAAACAAAUUAUUUUCAUUCAUAUAUCUAAAUAAAUCCUCAAUAACUACCAAAAACUUUAUUAACUUUCUCUCUAUAAAUGGACUUAUUUUAAAUGUGUACACACAUAGAAUGUGCCCUUGUCACUAGUUCAGCAUAAUACUUUGCAUGAGGAUAUGCAUGUUUUCAGUUGAAAUGUCAUAAAUGAAUGGCUAUUGAAUAGGGAUAUUAAUUAGUUAUUUGCUAUUUAAGAUACACAAAUUGCUACUAUUGUAUCUACUAUUCUAUUUAUUUCUUUGGCAUUGUUUGAUAACUCAUUUCAACACUUAAACUUAAUAUAUUAUCUUAACAUAUUCAAACAUGUUUCAUAACAAAAAAAAAAAGAACAUUUUAAUUAAUUAAGUGGUUCUGAAUUGUGUAGACAAAACUUGUGACGCCCCCACUUCUCCCUAGGGCGAACCCUAAGAUAUCCGCAGAACGCCUGUCCAACUCUCGCCGGGAUUCACUACAAUCUAUAAUUCAAAACUAGAAAUACUUCAAAUAAUUUCAAUAUAUAUAUAUUUCAAGUACUCCAAAACACUUCAUACUUACAAUUAGUUAGCUUUCAAAUUUAAUACAACUCAAAAGAGUAUAUACUACAAGUCUACAACCAUCUGUUAUAAUACAACUUAAAGUUUCCAAAAGGAAACAACUUAAUACUAUUCACAGGCACUUUCGAUCUUGAAUCCUGUUAAGGAAAACAAAAACAUGGAAUGAGCUACACAGCCCAAUGAGAUUCCAAGACACUCUAGCAGUUCUAAUAAAUCAAGUACUUUGAGCAUAACACAUGUAUGGUUCAAGAUUGCACGUUGGCACAUUAAUAUGAAACAAUUAUCAUUAUACAGAAAUAAACACAUAUUGAAGGAUACGGUGUUCCAAUGGAACCAUUUCGAUCAACUUCACCUUAUAACUUCAGAUCCCCUCGAUUUGUCUAACCAUCACCUUAUCCCUCCAGUGGUAAUACUCGAGUAUAUCGAAAUGGUGGCCCAGGGUUCCAACCUACCCGACUGAGCCUAGUCCUGGCUCUAGCAAAUUAGUAACCAAGGGCAAGACCCAAUUCAGUUUAGAGUUUACAACAUGCACAAGUAAGCAAGUAAAUCGGUAAACGGUAAAUAAUCACGGUUAACGUUAAAAAUUUAUAAUUUUUGUAGGUCGAGUGAGAUAAAAUACACACUCACCUUAAAACGAUGAGCAAUUUCAUAUGAACAAUUAUCAGUAACACUUAACACUUAAACACGUAAGCAAUAUGCGAUAGUUUCAUAUGCACAUGUAAUUUACGGUAAUCAAGUAGUCAAGUAAUCAAGUAAACAGGUACUCAAGUAAAUCGAUUAACGGUAAGUAAUUACGGUAAACGGUAGUAGUUCACGGUUAAUCAGUAGACAUUUAUCAUUUUAGUAGGUCGAGUGAGAUAAAAUACACAUUCGCCUUAAAACAGUGAAAAAGUUCAUAGGAGCAAUUAUCGGUAAUACUUAACCGUUAAAACACAUAAUGACCAUGGAGUGAACAUGUCGUAAAACUAUUCAAGUCACGUACUCCUAUAUGGAACACUCAAUUCAGAAUAAAUGAGUAAAGAAAGUCGUCAAUGAUCCACUUGGGGAUUCUCUUCGAGACCUUCUUGAUCGUCUGAAGAAAAGUGACCAAUAACCACCCUCGCAAUUUCACAAAUUCCUUAUCAAACAAGAAAGAAUGCACACUUGCUUUAGAAUUCAAGUCAAUGUCUUUAUAAGAGCUUUAUUUUAUCAAAAGUUAAUAUUCAAAAGUGUGGAUUUUAAAAUUACUGAGGAAACUCAUAUCCUCCACGAAAUCGGGUUCAAAACGAUAGAUUAAUAUCAAAAUAAGAAGUCAAGCUUCCAAAAUUUCAUUUUUUAAGAAUUUGGCAAAUUUCAGCUUUGUGCGUCAAAUUUAGAAAAAUCAUAUCUUACACUCAGUAGGUCCAAAAAUGAAAAAUUUGAUACCGUUGAAAACCAAAUCCAAGAUACUAAAAGUUUCUAGAAAACAUUUUUCCAAGUUUCUAAAUAGAAAGCAUUUAUUUUCCAGCUUAAAGUUUCAGUUUUGAACAAGCAAGGCAGAAUCAGUCUUGUUUUUUGACAAUCUUUGAAAAUUCGGCAUAAUUUAUAAAAAGUGAACUAGCCUUUGAAAUUUGUAACACAAUAAGAGUUCCAAUCAAGGUUUCAAACACAAUAAACAGAACUAGAAUCGGCGUUUUGAACGCCAAGAUAUAAUAGCUCAAAGUUGGUUAAAAAUAAGGACCAUUAGGUCCAUUUUCCAGAUUUGGAAGGCUAUCUUUGAAGUAUCAUUUGGCUAUCGAUUUGGCAUUGGAAAUACACCAAACCUGGUGCACUAAAUCUUCUAUGGGUGGACAACAUUUCUACUAAGUUCCACGUAAAAACUCCCAUGGAAAGGCAGUCAUUAAAACAACUAAAGUUCAAGAAAUAUCCCAAGGCUAAUCUGCCUUCUUGCUUCCUUUUUCUUUUCAAACAUUUUGCCCAAUGAAAUCAACUCAAAUCUAGCUCAUUUAUGAAAAAAAAAAGUCCGAGAAACAUCGAAUAUAUAUUUGAUAGGUGAUUGACAUCAAAAUCUCAAAAUAAAACCUCUCAUAAGUAACCAAACCAAUCAGCCAGCAUGAAAAGAGGGUUUUCCAGAUUUGCUGCAGUUUAGGACUUGGACCAUAACUCACUCAAUACAGAUUGGAAUUGGGAAUGGUUGGUGGAGUUGAAAACUAGAUUCAAAAUUAUACAAUUCAUCAAAAUAACUCAUUUUGAAAUUCAGUUGGCAAGUGAGAGAAAAUAGAGCCACAAUUUGCAGCUUGUAGCUUUCCCUCGGUUAGACAGUGAAACAAGACAGCAAACUUUGCUCAAUCACUACAGAUGACUCGAUUUGAAUUAGAAGGUCCAUGAUACAUCAUUAGAAAACUACAGAUGUCUAGUUUUAAAUUCCAUAGACAGCACUUGAUUUCAAUGUUUGAGCAGAGAGUUAUGUUCAUUCAAAAAUUACUGCCAUAGGACCACUGCUCUGCGAUUUUUCAGUUUUGUUUUUGCCAAAACUCACAUUUUGCUCAACCAAAUCAAGUGAUUUUCGGUGCAAACUUUCCAUACAUCCUAUACAACAUAUCUAUAUCAGUUUCAAGGUCAUUUGAGUAUCAAAAUUUUGAGCCUCAAAAUUUUGAGCCAAAGCUUCGAGAAAAACAGGGCAGAUUCGGUCAGAUUUUUUCCAUGCAAUUCUUUCGAUUUUCCUUUCACUUUUCCAACUAAUCUCAUCUUGUUUAUCAUAAAAUUAACACAAACAACACUUAUCAUCAUUAUAUCAGUCCUAUAUCAUCAAGGUGGGAUUUCAUAGAGCCCACUCCAACCAUUUAAAUCCAAAUAACAAUAUCAAUAAUGAAGUUACGAGCUUCAUAGCCAAGAUCGAAUCCAUUUAAAGCUAAGAAUGAAAGAUUGGAUAGUUAUACCUCUUAGAUGAUGAAAAAUCAGAAAUUUUGGGUCACCAAAAGCUCCAAGAAACUCGGCUAGAAGACCUCCUCCUCCAAGUCAAGAUGAAUCUCCAAGUAGUUAGAAGUUGGAUGGUGUUUUUGAGUGCAAGAUUGGAGCAAAAUUGGUGCAAGAAUGGAAGUGAAAUUGGAAAGGUUUCUCUUCUUCUUCCUCCUUGGAGUUUCAGCCAGCCUUGAGUGAAAAGAGAGAGAGAGAGAGUGAAAUCUGAUAUCUAAAGCUUCUUAAAGAAGCUUGGAAACUUGGGGCCAAAGUUUGGGAAAAGUAAACUACCACUAGUGUCGCGCGCACGCGUUUCCGGUCCGAUUUCUCUCGGAUUUGUUUCACUUGUGUACUAAAUCUCAAAUGUACUUCCUUUAACAUUAUAAUUAUUCACUGUUAGUAGUCUAGUAUAAAUUUCUGAAGUCUCCGUUUAACCAUUCCAACUCGAUAUACGCGAAAUUCCAAUUCGCGCACAAUAAGGUGAAGUUUACGGGAAAUUCAUAUAACGAUUAUAUAAUUAACUACUACUAAUAUAAUUAAUUAUAAAAUAACCAUUUUAGAAAUAAAACAUGAGUCCUCAAAUCUCCAAGAUUAUUAUACUCUCGGAUCGAUUAUUGUCUCGAAAAAUGUGUACUCGUUAUUUUUCACUAAACGAGCCCUAGCAAAUUAAAUUUACUAACGAGACAUUUUAAAAAUAUAAUUGAGACUUUAUUCCAUAUAAAUGGAUUUAAAAUGGUUGAAAUAAAUUAUUCGGAAAAAACGGGUGAAUAAAUAAUUAAUUAAGCCAUUAAAAUAAGAUUAAAAAUAAGUAAAAAAAAAUUCGGCUCCUCAUAAAACUUACUCUAAAAUAUAAGUUAUAAAUUGUUCAUUUAUUACUUAAUGCAGAAUAUGUUUAAAUGUUAGGAUUUCAGUAUUCAACAAUUCAACAAUUUAAUGAAUUCAAAUUUCAAGGCUUUAGAUUUCAAACUUCAAAUUUUAUUUUUAUCAAAUAAACUUCGAUUAUUGAUUUUUUUUAAUGUGUUCAUAAAGACGGGGUCUCUAAAAAAGAAAGUGUGGCACCUAACAUGGCAUGGCUGAUCCAACAAUUUCUUAUUUGGGGUCCUCAUCAGAUGAAUCUAAUUGGGAAAAGAGUCCCAAUGGCCCUCCAACUCUUUCUGUGACACUUCUGUCAAAUUCAGAGGUUAAAAUUGACGGGAAGCAUCAUCUCGUGCCACGGGCAACCAAAUAUCAAGGGCAUUAUGGUCUCUUUCUCACGGAACUUUGACCUGAGCUGGAGAUGACAGUUUUUAAAGUGGUAGUAUUCUUAGUCCCAUGGUCAAAACUUGGGAAAGAUCCAUCAUCAAUGUCAACCCCGUCGGAGAGUACGAAAACAUUGAUGGGAUCGUAAAAGAACUUGAUUUUCUUAUUGGGGUUGCGGGCAAUGAGCGUGAAGUUGAAUUUGGAGUUGACCCCGGUGGAGGUGAGGUUGAAGUGGGACAGUUGAAGGGGGGAGAUGCUAAAGUUGAAGCGAUGGGCACGGUAGAUAACCCAGAAGACGGCCCUGGCUACGGCGACGAGGACAAGGAUGAAGAUGAUGAAGAGGGUUGUCCAGAGGCAGCAGGAACAGCAGCAGCUGCAGUUGUGGUGACGCUUGCUGAGUGAUUGGGGACGGUAGAUAGGGCACGUGGUGUUAUUAUAGAGCUUGCCUUUGGUGGGUGGAAAUGUUGAGUUUGCAACUGCAGCGGUGGUAGUGAUGCCGUUGGCAGCAGGAUUGGCUGCCGGGUAUACUCUAUCUGCCAUCGUUUUGGUUUAACACUAUGUUGUUCCGGUCCCUCCCUCCCUCUCUCUCUCUCUCUCUCUCUCUCUCUCUCUCUCUCUCUCUCUCUCUCUCUCUCUCUCUCUCUCUCUCUCUCUCUCUCUCUCUCUCUCUCUCUUUCUAUUGGCUGUUGAACUGUAUUUGCAAUAGGAUUGCAGCUGGUGCAUUCUUUAACCUUGCUUCAGUUGAAGAAUACCGGCAACUAAAUGGGGAGAUUCCAGAUGCAAUUCCUUCUCUAGUGGAGCUCCUCAGGGAUGGGACAGAUCGUAGCAAAAAGAAUGCACUUCUCACGAUAUUCGGCCUCCUCCUAUGUCUUGAGGACCACAGGAGAGUGUUUGCUGCUGGAUUAGUCCCAUUGCUGAAGCAAGAGCAACGGCAGCAGUGGUGGUGACACAGGUGGUGGGGUGGUGGAGGGGUCACUGGGGUGGAGGUGCUUGGUAAAUCAUUCAGAGACUAUAAUACCUUUGAUAUUUGGUCGCGCAUUUCACGAGAUGAUGCUUUCUGUUAAUUUUAAUCGCUGGAUUUGACAGAAGGGUCUCGAAUAUACUAUUUUAUUAGAUCGAGAGCCAAAUCUUUAUUGUUAAUUAUUGGAGGGCUAAAACUUUACCUGUGAAUGAGUUGGAGGGCCAUUGGGAAUCCUUUCCCAAUCUAAUUCUUUAUCUGAGUGAUAAAAAUUUGUUUGAAGAGUUUUUCCUAACUUUUGAAACUUUGAUUUAGUUUCCUUUCAAUUUUAGUUACGAAAAUAACCCACAUGUGUUCGUUCUCUUGAAAAACCUUUUCUUUUUAAAAGCUCCAAGUCAAAGUAAACUAAUUCUUUCAUACGGCACUUUUUUUUUGGGGGUUAGAGAAAGAAACCAAAAAAAAAAAAUCAAUUUGAAGAAAAAGAAGACAUUGUUUGGAUAAUGAACUUAUCCCAAAUAAUAUUUCGUUUGCAUUAUAAACAUAUUUUUCAACCCAUCUUUUUAUAUUCUCAAUCACCUUUUUAUCUCACAUACAUCACAUUACAAAAAGUGUUACAGUAAUUAUUCCAAAUAAUAUUUUAAAUAAUACCCUAUCCAAACAAAUUGGUGGAGCUCUAAUUAAAGGUCUCUAUCGGAAAGGAAGACCUAAAAUAGUCCACUCAGUCCCAACUACAGCCAUAGGUUCAUUAUCAUCAUCCAAAGUACGCAGUAGUAGUAGUAUAGUAUAACUGGGGAAGGCUAUUAAGGUGUAGGGACAAAGGAAAAAAAUCUCCUGACGAGAAAGGGAAGGAUGGACAAAUAUCAGUCAUGAGUAGUAUGAACAUUUUUUUUUUUAAAUUAUACUACAUUUAUACCAAUUUUGCUAUUAAAUUUAUCAAAAUUUUGUACAUUAACUUUUUAUGCACUCACACUGUAAUGGUAGUAUUUUUUUUUUUUUUACACUAACAACUUUAAAUAUAUGCUACACAUGUACAUAAUUUGAAUUUCAAAUCUAAAUUCGUAUUAUGUAACAUGAUAUAAACCUACUAAUAUAUAAAAAAUAAUAAUUCUACACUGACAGUGUCUAAAAAAGUUUUCCAAAUUUUAUUACCUUAUUACAUUUGUAUGUGCAUCUACAAAGUUAGGCUACAUGUUGCUGUCAUUUUAUAAAUAACUAAGAAGAUAAGUCAUCGUCCUUAUUGAAAUUUUAAUUUUUUUUUUCAAAAAUUGAUGUAUAAUUUGUGAAGAAGACGUCAAAAAAUUAUUACGUGUUUCAUAAAAUUAAUUAAAAAAAAUAUGAGUAAUUUUCAAAAUAUUCACUACAUUGAUUCAUUUACUUGGUUUGGCAUAUGCCCUCUUUAUAGGUUCCAGAGAUUCACAAUGGAGUUUGGUACUGCUUUCAGGGGUCAGUCAGCAACAUGCCGAGACACAACUAUGGCACAAGAUUUUGAGUUUGGUAGCCAAAAACCAGUCCAUGAGAUUUGCAUUACAUAAGUCAGUAAUCUGUGAGAUACUGAGACAGCAUCAAAAUAAACCAAAAACUGUGUCCACAAGAUGCUUAUUAGAGAAAACUAAAUUCCAGAACAGGAUAGUCUAGUUCCAGGUUGCAUUACAUCGAAGAGUUUCGAACAGAAUUUCACGGAUUAAUAAUGACACAAUCUCAUCAGCCUCAGCAACCUG
rnacentral:lncRNA from 1 species